AGAAGCGGAAACAGGAGCAGCAGCAGCAGCAGCAGCGGCAGGAGAGGCACACAGGAGCCAGAUCCUAAAGGCUUUGUAUGCCACAUUAGGAAAGAAUUUGGAAUACAGCUUCUGUUUGGAAAACAUUUUCUGUAACCAGCCCGACAACACAGGGCCUUGCUUUGUUGCCCCAGCUGGUCUCCAACUCCUGGCUUCAAGCAAUUCUCCUGCCUCAGACUUCCAGAGUGCUUGGAUUACAAGUGUGAGCCAUCAUACCUGGCCUCAAAAGAAAAUUUUAGAACUGAAAAAUACAAUAACUAAAAUAAAAAGCUAAGUGGAUGCGUUCAGUAACAGAAUGAAGAGGCACAGAAAGAAUUAGUAAACUGUAACAUGGAGCAAUAGAAAUUACCCAGUCUGAAUAACAGGGGCUCAGGGAUCUGUGAGAUUAUAAUGAAAUAUGUAGCAUUUCUAUCCCUUUAAGCCCGAAAGGAGUGGAGAAAGGGUGUGGGUUGGCAAAGUAUUUGAAAAAUAAUGCUUGAAUAAUAUCCACACUUUUAAGAGACAUAAAUUGACACAUUAAAGAAGCUAAAUCCUGAACUUCAAACAGGAAACUUCCAAAGAAGCCCACUAGAAGACACAUCAUAGGUAAACUUCUGAAAAUGAAAGACAAAGAAAAAAUCUUGAAAGCAGUGAGAGAAAAAUGGCACUUUACCUAUAUGGGAAAAAAACUUCAAUUAACAUCACAUUUGUCAUCAGAAAACACGGAGGCUCAAAGAAAGUAACACAAUAUUUUUUUCUGAGUACAAAGGAAAAGAACUAUGAACCUUGAAUCCUAUACCCAGCCAUAAUAUCACUCAGUAAUAAAGGGGAAAUCAAACCAUUUUCACAUGAAGGAAGACUAAGAAUUUGUUGCCAGUGGACUUACUCUAAAAGAAUGACUAAAGGAAGAUCUCUUAACAAAGGGAAAACAAAUGAAGAAGUAACUGUGGAACAGUAGGAAGGAAGAAAAAACAUAAUAUGACCUGCCAGCGUCACACAACUUUCAUACAAAGAAAUCAACUCAGUGGUCAGCGGAAACUUGAUGAUAGCAUAGUGGUCAAGCUUGUUUCUCCUGGGAGCGCUCUUCCGAGGAUAUUUGGGCUGUCUCCAGAGUCGCAGUGUCUUCGGCUGCCGGAAGGUAAGGAACCUGCUGCGCGUGAGAUCCCAUUACCAAGUAAAGGGUCACUGAAAGGCGAUAACAAGAGAAAGGGCUCAUGUCUGACUGCCAGUGUUAGCAUAAAGGAGAGCCAUUUUGCCAAGAACAAUACAGCCUGUGGAACUCACCAGAGAAGUGCCCCAGUAACAACCCGACCUGCAUUAUUUGCAAACCAUGACCUGGAUGUUCCGAAGAUAGCAGCCACACAAAAUUCUCCGCCCAUCGAUUUGCUGGGUGAAAUUUGUGGAGGAGGUUUAACUUUGCUUAAAAAAUAAAAUAAGAGUAAAAAACAAUUAUCAUGAUGAAAUGAUACUCCUUUAGGUAAUGACAGUUUUUCCUUUAAAUUCCACCCCUAUUCAAAUCCUCCAGUAUGAACAUGCAUUUUGCCUUAAGUAAUAAAUGGUGAUGUGAGACUA